rnacentral:rRNA from 1 species
CAAUAGGAUAUAUCAAAGUUGUUGCAGUUGAAAAGCUCGUAGUCGUAUUUCUGGUGGGUAGAAGUCUUUGACAGUGUUAUGAAAAUUAGCUCGGUGCAAUGGCCGCCUGCCAUUUUGUGGGCUCAAGUGGCCAUGUUUACGUUCACUCAUGGACAUGGUCGCUCCACUCCGUCACUGAGAGCAAAUUGGAGUGCUCAAAGCAAGCUUUAUAGCUUUGAACAUCUUAGCUUGGAAUGACAAAGUAUGAUUUUCGGUUCACUUUGUUGGUUAUGAAUUGGGGAUAAUGGUAGAGAGGAACGGUUGCGGGGGUACUCGUACUGGGAAGUCAGAGGUGAAAUUCUUAGAUUUUCCCACGACGAACGACUGCGAAAGCAUUUACCAAGGAUGUUUUCAUUGAUCAAGAACGAAAGUUAGGGGAUCGAAGACGAUUAGAUACCAU